ensembl:lncRNA
ACAAUGUUGUGCAUGAAAAAGUCAUACAAUGGAGUUCUGUGUAUUUUCCUCAGAUUUCAAGAACAAAGAAGCAACGACCUUUUGUCUGCUGCUGUCAUUCCCUGCUUCACCAUUAAGAACAAGCUUGUCCACAACGUGAUUACACAGCUGAAACUUGUCCAAAAAUCAGCACAUUCACACGUUUCAGCAACUGGUACCCAAAAAAGGAAAACUGGGAUUGUGAAGCAAUCAGUUACAGCAGGUCUGCUGAAGGAAGAAGAGCUAUCACUGGGCAAUGUGCAGGGCAUGGUAACUCCCACUGUUGCUAAUGGAAGAAGAGGCUGCUGAACCCCUCUCAGGAAUCCUCUAUCUAAAGCCCAGCUCUAUAGAAGCAUUUGCUUGUAUGGCUGAACAAAGGACUUGCAUAUGGUUCAAGACCUGCAAAAAAUAACCCAAAAGAGCAAAAGAAACUCAAGGACUUUGGCUUUAAAGAAAAACAUCAACUAUGGACAAAUAUUAGCAAUGUUCUAACAGUGAGAUAAGAAGCUAUUGAUUCGCUACUGCAUGAGAACUGCUUGCAACAGGAAAACAGGGGACCUCCGAAAUUCCUGAGACACAACCAAGAGGUCAGGUGGAAACAUUUCUUAUAAGAACUGCAGCCCAGGUGAAGUGAGGCAUCCAGGAAGGGCUGCAGCUGAGUUGAGUAAAUGCUGAUGAAGGAAAGUCCACAACAACCUGGGUAGGCCAGAAACAGCAGUAAGAAAUAGACUCUGCUUCUGGGUUUGGGGUUCUUCACAGGAGGAGGCUGGAUGAGACUCCCUCUAGAAGAGGUGAGGGGUCAGGACCAGUGAAGCUUGGAUAAGGAGAUGCCGAGGGCUGGUGUCUGAAUUAUUGUGUUUUAGGAGGAGAGUUUGAUCUUUCUGGCCUUGUGAACUCUUUCAGUGUUUGGGCAGAUAGUCCAGGCGCAUGGGCAUGAUCUGUGUGGGACAUGAGCAGGGGCUGGAUGUGCUCUGCCUGCACACACCUGCAGUGCAGCAUGCAGGGUGUGACUGUUGCUGCUUGAACCUCAGUUUGUCCUCUCCAGGAGUGCUGGGGAGUCUCCAGGGAAGAUGGGGUGAAGGUACCCAGAUCAGCAGCAUCUGCAGUGGCCAGUUGAGGUUAGUGGCUUGCCUGUGGGUUAUGAAAUGCUCACAGUACACCUGAGCAAGGCUUCCGAGAAAGAGAGGUGCUGCACCUGUGGCAGAUGUCCUUCUUUGCUGGUGAUGAAGGAGCAUGAUGCCAGCACCAGGCUGCUGUGCCUGUCUCCAGCUGCUGACAGAGCCCCUAUUCUGCUGCCUCUGGUUCCUCUCAGGUAGGUGGUACAUGUCUGCAAAAUUCACAAGUGGCUUAAGUCGCUAAAAGUCUCACUUGCUCCUCCUUGAUGUGUAGAGGCUGAAUUCAAGAGAUCCAGGAAGUUACCUGUGGCCAGAUGGGACUUUGUGCCCAGACCCUCCUCAGGGACAAGGAAGGCAGCUCUUCCUUCUCCUUUACUCUCACAAGCAUAACAAAAAACAGGGAUUACUCUUUUUUAAGGGUUGUGUCUGUUAAGACAGCCAGCCCAAUUGUGUCUGGCACUGUAAAUAAGGCUAAGGUAAUUUAGAACCUUCUAAGAUGAGACAGCAGCUAAGCCUAUGUUUCAUAUUGGUUGGGGUUUUUUUUUUUCCAAAUAAUUACUUUUUUUUUUUUUUUUUUUUUUUUUUUUUUUUUUUUUUUUUUUUUUUUUUUUUUUUUUAAUAAAGGAGCCAGUUUUCUCUAAGUCA